UGAGGAGUGAAAAUUGAUGGGAAGAGAUAUUUGAGAGAAAUCUUUGGUUUGAGGGAGAAGAAAUGGAGGGCUUUUAGUUCGGUGAGAGGAAAAAGAUGAAGGGCUGAGUCGGCUCCAGAAAAAAUUCUCAAUAAGAAGAGAGCGCCCAAAGGGUUUUGACAAAAUUGCAAGUUUACCCUAAAGUCGACCUUGGGGGUCGACUCAUGGCACAGAAAAAUUCAAAAGAAUGAUGGAACAAUUUUGAAAAAAUUUGAAACUCUGAGAGAAAGAUGUUUACCCA
rnacentral:lncRNA from 1 species